UACGGAAGGCAGCAGUGGGGAAUAUUGCACAAUGGGCGCAAGCCUGAUGCAGCCAUGCCGCGUGUAUGAAGAAGGCCUUCGGGUUGUAAAGUACUUUCAGUCGUGAGGAAGGUGUUAAGGUUAAUAACCUUAGCAAUUGACGUUAGCGACAGAAGAAGCACCGGCUAACUCCGUGCCAGCAGCCGCGGUAAUACGGAGGGUGCGAGCGUUAAUCGGAAUUACUGGGCGUAAAGGGCACGCAGGCGGUUAAUUAAGUUGGAUGUGAAAUCCCCGGGCUUAACCUGGGAAUGGCAUUCAAGACUGGUUAGCUAGAGUCUUGUAGAGGGGGUAGAAUUCCAUGUGUAGCGGUGAAAUGCGUAGAGAUGUGGAGGAAUACCGGUGGCGAAGGCGGCCCCUGGGACAAGGACUGACGCUCAUGUGCGAAAGCGUGGGGAGCGAAACAGGGAUUAGAUACC
rnacentral:rRNA from 1 species